rnacentral:tRNA from 1 species
GCCGAGGUGGCGGAACUGGCAGACGCGCACGACUCAAACUCGUGUGGAUAACCUCCAUGAGGGUUCAAGUCCCUCCCUCGGCA